rnacentral:rRNA from 1 species
GAUGAACGCUGGCGGCGUGCCUAAUACAUGCAAGUCGAGCGAACAGACGAGGAGCUUGCUCCUCUGACGUUAGCGGCGGACGGGUGAGUAACACGUGGAUAACCUACCUAUAAGACUGGGAUAACUUCGGGAAACCGGAGCUAAUACCGGAUAAUAUAUUGAACCGCAUGGUUCAAUAGUGAAAGACGGUUUUGCUGUCACUUAUAGAUGGAUCCGCGCCGCAUCAGCUAGUUGGUAAGGUAACGGCUUACCGAGGCAACGAUGCGUAGCCGACCUGAGAGGGUGAUCGGCCACACUGGAACUGAGACACGGUCCAGACUCCUACGGGAGGCAGCAGUAGGGAAUCUUCCGCAAUGGGCGAAAGCUUGACGGAGCAACGCCGCGUGAGUGAUGAAGGUCUUCGGAUCGUAAAACUCUGUUAUUAGGGAAGAACAAAUGUGUAAGUAACUAUGCACGUCUUGACGGUACCUAAUCAGAAAGCCACGGCUAACUACGUG